UGCGUAGGGGGCAAGCGUUGUCCGGAAUCAUUGGGCGUAAAGAGCGUGUAGGCGGUCCGGUAAGUCGGCUGUGAAAGUCCAGGGCUCAACCCUGGGAUGCCGGUCGAUACUGCCGGACUAGAGUUCGGAAGAGGCGAGUGGAAUUCCCGGUGUAGCGGUGAAAUGCGCAGAUAUCGGGAGGAACACCUAUGGCGAGGGCAGCUCGCUGGGACGUUACUGACGCUGAGACGCGAAAGCGUGGGGAGCAAACAGG
rnacentral:rRNA from 1 species